rnacentral:lncRNA from 1 species
GGAGUUAAUGGUCAUUCAUGGGCAAUUAUCAGGUAUUAAUUUACAAAUAUAUGGUAUUAAUGAUUAAUUAUUGGGUUUGAUUACCUAAAAUAUAUUAUACUAAUGGUUAAUCAAUGGAGUUGGCUGUCACAAGCCUUAUAAGUAUACAACUGAUGUCCAGGUACAAUCAUCUUGAUCUAUCCUAAUAAAAAUAUUGACCUAUCUAUGAAACAUAUCUGACUUGAGUGUCGGAGUGUUUUCUGCAGGUCAACCCCCCAUCGGGAAGGAUUACAUCAAGAGUUGGACGAUCGGAGCAUAACAAGGAAGGAUGACCGAUCCGAGACAAAUGUUACCGAAACAUACAUAUUUCUUGUACACCUUUGCCCAUUGAAAUAGAAUCAAUAUUUUGCUUGUAGAUAUUUUUUAUUUUUCUUUCUUAAGUUAUAAUCGUAAGGUUAAAUGAUAUGAACUUUUGCUUUCCUCUUAUGUUUGCCG